CCUCAAAUCGGGUGAGACUACCCGCUGAACUUAAGCAUAUCAAUAAGCGGAGGAAAAGAAACUAACAAGGAUUCCCCUAGUAACUGCGAGUGAAGCGGGAAAAGCUCAAAUUUAAAAUCUGGCGGUCUUUGGCCGUCCGAGUUGUAAUUUAGAGAAGCGUCUUCCGCGUCGGGCCGCGCACAAGUCUCCUGGAAUGGAGCGUCAUAGAGGGUGAGAAUCCCGUCUCUGGCACGGACCCCCGGUGCUUCUGUGAUGCGCUCUCAAAGAGUCGAGUUGUUUGGGAAUGCAGCUCAAAAUGGGGUGGUGAACUCCAUCUAAAGCUAAAUAUUGGCGAGAGACCGA
rnacentral:rRNA from 1 species